GGACGGUUAGCUCAGUUGGUUAGAGCACUGGCAUGAAACGCCAGAGGUCGUGGUUUCGAGUCCCUCAUCGUUCA